UGUCUUUCUGCCUCCUCUUUUUAUACAGACUGGGACACGGGCUACUCCACAUGUAGAGGAGGAGCCUUUCCAGUAGCACCUUGGCUAGGGCACCCGCCAGGUGUGGGCAUGUUGGGAAUAAGAUCUCGAGGAUCAAAUUAAAUAUCAUAACACUCCAUAUAACUCCCUAGUGGAAUUUUAUAAAACAGUACUGAAAUCGUUAUGAUAUAGUAGUGGAGAAACCGGGAUCGAGCGUUAUGAUAUAGUGGUGGAAUCCGGGUUUCCAACUUGUCCUAGCCGCCCCACGGAAAAGCCAUCAACGACAUAACGGACACAAUUGGGACACAAACCUAAAGCAACAGCGCCUCCACAGCAUCGUCUGAUCAUUACCACGGACGCAAACAACGCCUGGGAUGCUCUUCAACACCCGGGACCGAAUCGAUUCCCUGGACGUAAUCAACGCUUACAGCAUAUCAACGCGGACGGAUACAACGCCCCGGACGCACAUCAGGUCCCGGACAUUAACAACGCACCGGAGAACCUCCCUAGCAUCAGCCAGGAAUAUGUAGCAACGAGAACUACAUGACACAGUACAAACAGCAGAUUUAUAUGUACGAGCCAUCUGAAUCACAGCGAAGAUCCGAAUAAAAUUCAAAAUUAUAUUAAAUGUUUUUAAUCUU